UUACUGUUUCAGUCUUGUUCUUUGUAAGCUUCAUAAAGAAGAAAACAAAGACUGCAGAAGCUCCAGGGACCAAUCCAGAGGGUGAGAUAAUUGGAGCACUCACCUUGGCAUGAAAAGGACUGCUGGCAAGGACUUUGGGUUUCAUGGACCAGGAGGGCUGUGAGGAUACUUUGGCCCAAGUCUUGGGCCAAGAUGAUGCUUUUUGGAUCGCUGAGCUGGAAAUGUAUUAGCUCUCAGGGCAGGACAGCUUAUAUAGCACUGACAUUGAAGAGGACCAGCCAACCCUGCCCAGGCUCCAGUCACCUGGAAGGAACGCAUGGACACCUGGAAACCAAACCCAUUGGGUCAGCCUGCAGUUGUUCCUACUGCUACUGUUGGAAGUCCCAAGGUCACUACUCAAGACUGGAGCUGAGCAAGUAGCUAGGCUGGGGCAAAGAAGAACAAGAGAAAGAUCUAGUUGUCUUAUUGGAGAGAAAAGCAGUGGCUGUGGAAAAUGGUGUCCCUAGAUGGACUACUGCCAAGGUUGCUGUGCUGAUAUGGUCAGGAGGGGGAUAUCUCAGGCCAAGCGUACAGUGAUUUUCCAGAAGUGUCAACACUGAGGUCACCAGGGAGGCUGCAGGCAUGGUGAGGCAGACUGUGGAGAUGCUGAUGGAGAACCUCCUAGUGGAAAAGUCCAGCAGUAUGUCAUAGCCCUUCUUAACAGAUAGAUGGAGAACAUCUAUGCAGUGUUGUGUUUUCCCCCCCUAUCCAAAGUAAGCUCCCCUAAAGGGACAUACUUUUGUGCCCUGGAGAAUUACCUCUACCCUCUUAGUGUCUUCCAAACCAAGGGCCCCUACCUUCCACUGUCUCAUGCCCAGGCUUUUUUCCCCUGGAGCCCACCCAUUCCACAAGCAGACGUCAGUCUACCAACUCCUAGCCCUGUUGUUUAGCCAGCCCUUCCCUGACCUUUCUCCCCCUCUCCACCCUCCCACACACACUUGCCUUCUCAACUGUAAGGCUCCAUAGUCAUAAGGCACUCUUCUGCAGCCCAUGAGGGAGAACAGACCUUUAAAGAAGACUUGGGAAUGCUGGGACAGGAGCGCAGCUCUCCCUUACCUCACAGAGGUCUGGCCUGUGCUGGUGUGGGAAGAGGAGCUCAUCCCUCUGCAUACUGUGGUGGGAUACUGCUCUGCCAUGCAACCGCUGAAGACCCUUCCCCAUCCAUGGUGACAUGGUAAAGGUAACCGUGCAGGACACUGUCAGGACACCCCUCCUCCCCUGCAACUUCAGAAACUGCCUGCAACCCCACCUCCGCUACAAAGCACUUGUUUUGUUCUAGUAAUAUAGCCCUGAGUGUUUGUAGUUAUUUAAUAAAGAAACUGUUUGGAAAAAAAGAAAUGACUGA
rnacentral:lncRNA from 1 species